rnacentral:Y_RNA from 1 species
UGUUGGUCCGAGUGCAGUGACAUUUACAACUAAUUGAUCACGACCAGUUACAAGUUUUUGAUCCUCCUUCACUGUACUGCUUCACUCGACCAGCCUUGA